rnacentral:rRNA from 1 species
GACGAACGCUGGCGGCGUGGAUUAGGCAUGCAAGUCGAACGGUAUAAACCUUUCGGGGUUUAGAGAGUGGCGAACGGGUGAGUAACACGUAGGUAAUCUACCCUCAAGACGGGGACAACCCAGGGAAACUUGGGCUAAUACCGGAUGUGAGCAACUUUUAGUUGUUUGAAAGGUGGCGUAAGCUGUCGCUUGGGGAUGAGCCUGCGUCCUAUUAGUUAGUUGGUGAGGUAACGGCUCACCUAGGCAAUGAUAGGUAGGCGGCCUUAACGGGUGGUCGCCCACACUGGGAUUGAGAUACGGCCCAGACUCCUACGGGAGGCAGCAGUCGAGAAUAGUCUACAAUGGCCGGAAGGCUGAUAGUGCGACGCCGCGUGAACGAGGGAGCCCUUCGGGGUGUAAAGUUCUUUUCUAUACGAGCAGUGCUAUAUAUAUGGAUAGUAUAUAUAGAGGGAUAGUAGUAUAGGAAUAAGCAACGGCUAACUCCGUGCCAGCAGCCGCGGUAAGCAUACCGUA